rnacentral:rRNA from 1 species
GACGAACGCUGGCGGCGUGCUUAACACAUGCAAGUCGAACGGAAAGGCCCUGCUUUUGUGGGGUGCUCGAGUGGCGAACGGGUGAGUAACACGUGAGUAACCUGCCCUUGACUUUGGGAUAACUUCAGGAAACUGGGGCUAAUACCGGAUAGGAGCUCCUGCUGCAUGGUGGGGGUUGGAAAGUUUCGGCGGUUGGGGAUGGACUCGCGGCUUAUCAGCUUGUUGGUGGGGUAGUGGCUUACCAAGGCUUUGACGGGUAGCCGGCCUGAGAGGGUGACCGGCCACAUUGGGACUGAGAUACGGCCCAGACUCCUACGGGAGGCAGCAGUGGGGAAUAUUGCACAAUGGGCGGAACCCUGAUGCAGCAACGCCGCGUGCGGGAUGACGGCCUUCGGGUUGUAAACCGCUUUCGACUGUGACGAAGCGUGAGUGACGGUAAUGGGUAAAGAAGCACCGGCUAACUACGUG